AGCGAACGCUGGCGGCAGGCCUAACACAUGCAAGUCGAACGAACCUUUCGGGGUUAGUGGCGGACGGGUGGGUACCACGUGGGAACGUGCCUUUCGGUUCGGGAUCACUCAGGGAAACUAGUGCUAAUAAAGCCUGUGUCCUACGGGGGACAGAUUACUCGCCAUUAGGGCGGCCCGCGUCUGAUUAGCUAGUUGGUUGAGGUAAUGGCUCACCAAGGCGACGAUCAGUAGCUGGCCUGAGAGGAUGAGCAGCGACAUUGGGACUGAGACACAGCCCAAACUCCUACGGGAGGCAGCAGUGGGGAAUCUAGCGCAAUGGGCGAAAGCCAGACGCAGCCAGGCCGGGUGAAUGAUGAAGGUCGGAGGAUUGUAAAAUUCUUUCACCGGGGACGAUAAUGACGGUACCCGGAGAAGAAGCCCCGGCUAACUACGUG
rnacentral:rRNA from 1 species